rnacentral:rRNA from 1 species
CAGUAGCCGCGGUAAUACGAAGGGGGCUAGCGCUGCUCGGAGUUACUGGGCGUAAAGCGCACGUAGGCGGAUAUUUAAGUCAGGGGUGAAAUCCCAGAGCUCAACUCUGGAACUGCCUUUGAUACUGGGUAUCUUGAGUAUGGAAGAGGUGAGUGGAACUCCGAGUGUAGAGGUGAAAUUCGUAGAUAUUCGGAGGAACACCAGUGGCGAAGGCGGCUCACUGGUCCAUUACUGACGCUGAGGUGCGAAAGCGUGGGGAGCAAACAGGAUUAGAUACCCGCGUAGUCCCUGUCUCUUAUAC